rnacentral:rRNA from 1 species
AUGAGCUUGGGCAUUUUUCAGGCAGUAAACUAUGUCGUCAUGUUCUUCGACCAUGCGCCGCACCCGCUGCUGCCCUAUGUAGCUCGUUGCUGCUGCGCCCACCACCACACGCCACUCCCUGCGCCCACUGCAGCGCCCCCGCUUGCGCUGCAGCCUGCUAGCGUCCGCUGCCACCGCUCCCUGCUAGCGCUGCUAGCUGCUUGGCGCGCAUGGCCUUACCCCUGCUGUACUUCUGCCGCUAGCUACCACUACCUCCUGCUGCUGGCUGCGGCUGCUUUGCUAGCUGCUGCCGACGACGUACCUCUGCCUGCUGCCGCGCCUGGCCGCCGCAUCAAACGCCCAGCCACCACCGUCGCGCCUGCCUCUGCCCGCCGGGCGCCGAGCCGCUUCCGCCGGGGCCGCUGCUGGCCGGGGUCUCGCCCUGCUCUGCCAUCCCCUGUGCUGGGCGCUGAGGCCGCCGACGCCUCCUGUGUCAUGCGUGCCGGGCAGGCUGGCCCUAUAAGGAGCCGCGUAGAUGCUCCCGAACUCAUAAAAUUCCACCCGAACAGAAAAGGGAAAAAAUUACACCACCCCCGCUUACCUUAUCCACACUCCCGCAUCCCCAUUCUCGCGCGGAUCCUCCCCGCCGUCGACGCACUUCCAUCUCCCCCAGUCGCCGCCCGCGCGGUUCCUCUCCGGUCGCCGCUGCCGUGGUUCCUCCGCCACCCCUUCCCUUCGCCCACCUUCCCUGCAACCUCUCUCAACCCUCCCAACAACCCGCCAGCCCACCUCCGGCUGCCGCCCACCCGCCGGCUUGCCGCCGCCCUUGCCUCCUCCCGGCGCGAGGCCGCCCCGCUUCCUCCUAGCGUGCCGCCGCCCCAACUACUUCCGGUUCGAGGCCACCGCACCACCUUCUUCCGUCGCGUGGCACCCGGUCCAGACGCGCUCCACCCGCCCACCCGGUCCCUGCGCUCCUCCCGCCGGCUCCCUCCGGUCCAGACGCGCUUCCCACUGCCGCCCGAGGCCACCGCGCCCCACCCCGUAGCCAUCCUCGACCCUCGUCCCUGCCGUGCCCGUCAGCGAGAAUGGGGAAGUAGCUCCGGUGGCUUCUCUUCAGUCCAUGAACGAGGUUGCUCAGUGGGAUGCACGAGCUGGGGAGGCUGCAGUUCGGCGACGCGUACACACAGUUCGUCGUUUGCCUGUGGCAUCAUCCUGCUGGUCAGUGACCAACGGAGCUGGCCUGAGGCGUGGUCUUGCUCGCCGGCGCUAGGCGCAGCUCGGCUGGAAGAAUUCUCGCUUCUUCCACAGCUAGCGAGAUCAAAGGCCAUUGUCGACAAAGCUAAGCUCAAGAGUGCAACUUCAGUCGAAGAUAUGCAUUAGAGAUUGCGAGAAGCUCUCACUAGUCUGGCUCUUCUGUUUAACUUGUGUCAACACAUAUGGCCUCUUCAGUUUGGGACUACAGCUUCUUUUGAAAAGUCACGACUACGAUGACAAAUAAUGUGGCCAUAGUAUAUGUUCUAUGUGUAGUUUGUAAUUUUCUUAGAUGCCCCUUGGCUGUUAACACAUAAACGUUGGUACUUGUGGCAUAUUAUUUGUUAUAACUGAGUCUGAUCUGCUUCUUUCUUCCCAGCAUCUCCUUGGUUGCUGUAAUGUUGCUUCGUUUUGGUUGUAAAAUAUAUGCGGUCUAAUGUUUGUUAUGUGUUUGAAAGAUAGUGCAAAUCUGGG